rnacentral:rRNA from 1 species
UCCGUAGGCGGGCGUCUAAGUCAGUGGUGAAAUCUUACAGCUCAACUGUAAAAUUGCCAUUGAUACUGGAUGUCCUGAAUUAGUGUGAAGUGGUUAGAAUGUGUAGUGUAGCGGUGAAAUGCAUAGAUAUUACACAGAAUACCAAUUGCGAAGGCAGAUCACUAACACUAUAUUGACGCUGAGGGACGAAAGCGUGGGGAGCGAACAGGAUUAGAUACCCUGGUAGUCC